rnacentral:rRNA from 1 species
AUUGAACGCUGGCGGCAGGCCUAACACAUGCAAGUCGAACGAGUGGCGGACGGGUGAGUAAUGUCUGGGAAACUGCCCGAUGGAGGGGGAUAACUACUGGAAACGGUAGCUAAUACCGCAUACCAUCGGAUGUGCCCAGAUGGGAUUAGCUAGUUGGUGAGGUAACGGCUCCACAAGACGACGAUCCCUAGCUGGUCUGAGAGGAUGACCAGCCACACGGGAACUGAGACACGGUCCAUACUCCUACGGGAGGCAGCAGUGGGGAAUAUUGCACAAUGGGCGCAAGCCUGAUGCAGCCAUGCCGCGUGUAUGAAGAAGGCCUUCGGGUUGUAAAGUACUUUCAGCGGGGAGGCGUUACCCGCAGAAGAAGCACCGGCUAACUCCGUGCCAGCAGCCGCGGUAAUUC